rnacentral:rRNA from 1 species
AACGAACGCUGGCGGCAUGCCUAACACAUGCAAGUCGAACGAGACCUUCGGGUCUAGUGGCGCACGGGUGCGUAACGCGUGGGAACCUGCCCUUAGGUUCGGAAUAACUCCCCGAAAGGGGUGCUAAUACCGGAUAAUGUCUUCGGACCAAAGAUUUAUCGCCUUUGGAUGGGCCCGCGUUGGAUUAGCUAGUUGGUAGGGUAAAAGCCUACCCAGGCGACGAUCCAUAGCUGGUCUGAGAGGAUGAUCAGCCACACUGGGACUGAGACACGGCCCAGACUCCUACGGGAGGCAGCAGUGGGGAAUAUUGGACAAUGGGCGAAAGCCUGAUCCAGCAAUGCCGCGUGAGUGAUGAAGGCCUUAGGGUUGUAAAGCUCUUUUACCCGGGAUGAUAAUGACAGUACCGGGAGAAUAAGCUCCGGCUAACUCCGUG